GCUGCGCACAGGCAGGACGGGGUA
rnacentral:piRNA from 1 species